rnacentral:rRNA from 1 species
GACGAACCGUGCGACCGUUGUUCGGAAUCACUGGGCUUAAAGGGCGCGUAGGCGGCUUGCCAAGUCAGGGGUGAAAUCCAGCAGCUUAACUGUUGAAGUGCCUUUGAUACUGGCGAGCUCGAGGGAGGUAGGGGUCUGUGGAACUUCUGGUGGAGCGGUGAAAUGCGUUGAUAUCAGAAGGAACGCCGGUGGCGAAAGCGACGGACUGGACCUCUUCUGACGCUGAGGCGCGAAAGCUAGGGGAGCAAACGGG